rnacentral:hammerhead_ribozyme from 1 species
GCAUUGCUGAGGAGUGGCACAAUAAGACGGAAUGGCCAUCCAGUGC